rnacentral:rRNA from 1 species
GAGUUUGAUCCUGGCUCAGGAUGAACGCUGGCGGCGUGCUUAACACAUGCAAGUCGAACGAACCUUCGGGUUAGUGGCGGACGGGUGAGUAACGCGUGGGAAUCUGCCCUCAGGAGGGGGAUAACGGCUGGAAACGGCCGCUAAUACCCCAUAUGCCGAGAGGUGAAAUGAAUUUCGCCUGAGGAUGAGCCCGCGUCUGAUUAGCUAGUUGGUGAGGUAAGAGCUCACCAAGGCAUCGAUCAGUAGCUGGUCUGAGAGGAUGAUCAGCCACACUGGGACUGAGACACGGCCCAGACUCCUACGGGAGGCAGCAGUGGGGAAUUUUCCGCAAUGGGCGAAAGCCUGACGGAGCAGCGCCGCGUGAGGGAUGAAGGCCUCUGGGCUGUAAACCUCUUUUCUCAAGGAAGAAGAUCUGACGGUACUUGAGGAAUAAGCCACGGCUAAUUCCGUGCCAGCAGCCGCGGUAAUACGGGAGUGGCAAGCGUUAUCCGGAAUUAUUGGGCGUAAAGCGUCCGCAGGCGGCCCUUCAAGUCUGCUGUUAAAAAGUGGAGCUUAACUCCAUCAUGGCAGUGGAAACUGUUGGGCUUGGGUGUGGUAGGGGCAGAGGGAAUUCCCGGUGUAGCGGUGAAAUGCGUAGAUAUCGGGAAGAACACCAGUGGCGAAGGCGCUCUGCUGGGCCAUAACUGACGCUCAUGGACGAAAGCCAGGGGAGCGAAAGGGAUUAGAUACCCCUGUAGUCCUGGCCGUAAACGACGAACACUAGGUGUCGGGGGAAUCGACCCCCUCGGUGUCGUAGCCAACGCGUUAAGUGUUCCGCCUGGGGAGUACGCACGCAAGUGUGAAACUCAAAGGAAUUGACGGGGGCCCGCACAAGCGGUGGAGUAUGUGGUUUAAUUCGAUGCAACGCGAAGAACCUUACCAGGGUUUGACAUCCUGCGAACCUCUUGGAAACGAGAGGGUGCCUUCGGGAACGCAGUGACAGGUGGUGCAUGGCUGUCGUCAGCUCGUGUCGUGAGAUGUUGGGUUAAGUCCCGCAACGAGCGCAACCCACGUCUUUAGUUGCCAGCAUUUAGUUGGGCACUCUAGAGAGACCGCCGGUGAUAAACCGGAGGAAGGUGUGGAUGACGUCAAGUCAUCAUGCCCCUUACAUCCUGGGCUACACACGUACUACAAUGCUACGGACAAAGAGCAGCAAGUUCGCGAGGACAAGCAAAUCUCAUAAACCGUGGCUCAGUUCAGAUCGUAGGCUGCAACUCGCCUACGUGAAGGAGGAAUCGCUAGUAAUCGCAGGUCAGCAUACUGCGGUGAAUACGUUCCCGGGCCUUGUACACACCGCCCGUCACACCAUGGAAGUUGGCCACGCCCGAAGCCGUUACUCCAACCCUCGGGAGGAGGACGUCGAAGGUGGGGCUGAUGACUGGGGUGAAGUCGUAACAAGGUAGCCGUA